AGUCUCAGUCUGUACCAGUUCCUGAAGCCACAAAAAUGCUCGAAGGUAUGCCUUUACCCAUUACCACAUAUGUGCCUCCUAAUUAUGUGCCCCAGGGUAUGUUUGCAGGGUCAGAUUCUAUGCAGUUUACUAGUGGAGCAGAUUUUGCGGAAUACAAAUUCAACCCGAUGAAUUUUGUCAAAGUUGUGAAGAAUCAAAAGCAGUUCCAGAAGCAGUUAGAAAAGUGGGC
rnacentral:lncRNA from 1 species